ACCCAUCAAAGUGCCUCAGCAGUAGUGGUCCUUUUGGCAACAGUCUGGGGUGAGCCUCUAGGUAGAUGUCAAGGUCAGGUAGAUUCUUGGUAAAAUGGCCCAAAGCUACAAAGAAUUCAUGUUCGUGUGCCAUCAAAACACCUCCACCACAUAGUGAUUCCUGUAACAAUAUCAAGGGCGCUAGAAAUGAAUGUCUUAGUAUCUGUGAGGUCACCGACAAAACUUAUUUCAACCUUUGAGUAUGAAUGGAACAAUCUGAGGAUGAGAAGAAAGGUCAAAUAUGAAGAGAACAUAAUCUCGCUGGACACAUUAUGGUU
rnacentral:lncRNA from 10 species